rnacentral:rRNA from 1 species
UACGUAGGGUGCGAGCGUUGUCCGGAAUUAUUGGGCGUAAAGAGCUCGUAGGCGGUCUGUCGCGUCGAUCGUGAAAACCUGGGGCUUAACCCUGAGCUUGCGGUCGAUACGGGCAUGACUGGAGUUCGGCAGGGGAGACUGGAAUUCCUGGUGUAGCGGUGAAAUGCGCAGAUAUCAGGAGGAACACCGGUGGCGAAGGCGGGUCUCUGGGCCGAUACUGACGCUGAGGAGCGAAAGCGUGGGGAGCGAACAGG